rnacentral:rRNA from 1 species
AGAGUUUGAUCCUGGCUCAGGAUGAACGCUAGCUACAGGCUUAACACAUGCAAGUCGAGGGGCAUCAGGAAGAAAGCUUGCUUUCUUUGCUGGCGACCGGCGCACGGGUGAGUAACACGUAUCCAACCUGCCCUUUACUCGGGGAUAGCCUUUCGAAAGAAAGAUUAAUACCCGAUAGUAUAAUGAUUCCGCAUGGUUUCAUUAUUAAAGGAUUCCGGUAAAGGAUGGGGAUGCGUUCCAUUAGGUUGUUGGUGAGGUAACGGCUCACCAAGCCUUCGAUGGAUAGGGGUUCUGAGAGGAAGGUCCCCCACAUUGGAACUGAGACACGGUCCAAACUCCUACGGGAGGCAGCAGUGAGGAAUAUUGGUCAAUGGGCGCUAGCCUGAACCAGCCAAGUAGCGUGAAGGAUGAAGGCUCUAUGGGUCGUAAACUUCUUUUAUAUAAGAAUAAAGUGCAGUAUGUAUACUGUUUUGUAUGUAUUAUAUGAAUAAGGAUCGGCUAACUCCGUGCCAGCAGCCGCGGUAAUACGGAGGAUCCGAGCGUUAUCCGGAUUUAUUGGGUUUAAAGGGAGCGUAGGUGGACUGGUAAGUCAGUUGUGAAAGUUUGCGGCUCAACCGUAAAAUUGCAGUUGAUACUGUCAGUCUUGAGUACAGUAGAGGUGGGCGGAAUUCGUGGUGUAGCGGUGAAAUGCUUAGAUAUCACGAAGAACUCCGAUUGCGAAGGCAGCUCACUGGACUGCAACUGACACUGAUGCUCGAAAGUGUGGGUAUCAAACAGGAUUAGAUACCCUGGUAGUCCACACAGUAAACGAUGAAUACUCGCUGUUUGCGAUAUACAGUAAGCGGCCAAGCGAAAGCAUUAAGUAUUCCACCUGGGGAGUACGCCGGCAACGGUGAAACUCAAAGGAAUUGACGGGGGCCCGCACAAGCGGAGGAACAUGUGGUUUAAUUCGAUGAUACGCGAGGAACCUUACCCGGGCUUAAAUUGCAGUGGAAUGAUGUGGAAACAUGUCAGUGAGCAAUCACCGCUGUGAAGGUGCUGCAUGGUUGUCGUCAGCUCGUGCCGUGAGGUGUCGGCUUAAGUGCCAUAACGAGCGCAACCCUUAUCUUUAGUUACUAACAGGUUAUGCUGAGGACUCUGGAGAGACUGCCGUCGUAAGAUGUGAGGAAGGUGGGGAUGACGUCAAAUCAGCACGGCCCUUACGUCCGGGGCUACACACGUGUUACAAUGGGGGGUACAGAAGGCAGCUAGCGGGUGACCGUAUGCUAAUCCCAAAAGCCUCUCUCAGUUCGGAUCGAAGUCUGCAACCCGACUUCGUGAAGCUGGAUUCGCUAGUAAUCGCGCAUCAGCCACGGCGCGGUGAAUACGUUCCCGGGCCUUGUACACACCGCCCGUCAAGCCAUGGGAGCCGGGGGUACCUGAAGUACGUAACCGCAAGGAUCGUCCUAGGGUAAAACUGGUGACUGGGGCUAAGUCGUAACAAGGUAGCCGUACCGGAAGGUGCGGCUGGAACACCU